GGUUAAGCGACUAAGCGUACACGGUGGAUGCCCUGGCAGUCAGAGGCGAUGAAGGACGUGCUAAUCUGCGAUAAGCGUCGGUAAGGUGAUAUGAACCGUUAUAACCGGCGAUUUCCGAAUGGGGAAACCCAGUGUGUUUCGACACACUAUCAUUAACUGAAUCCAUAGGUUAAUGAGGCGAACCGGGGGAACUGAAACAUCUAAGUACCCCGAGGAAAAGAAAUCAACCGAGAUUCCCCCAGUAGCGGCGAGCGAACGGGGAGCAGCCCAGAGCCUGAAUCAGUGUGUGUGUUAGUGGAAGCGUCUGGAAAGGCGCGCGAUACAGGGUGACAGCCCCGUACACAAAAAUGCACAUGCUGUGAGCUCGAUGAGUAGGGCGGGACACGUGGUAUCCUGUCUGAAUAUGGGGGGACCAUCCUCCAAGGCUAAAUACUCCUGACUGACCGAUAGUGAACCAGUACCGUGAGGGAAAGGCGAAAAGAACCCCGGCGAGGGGAGUGAAAAAGAACCUGAAACCGUGUACGUACAAGCAGUGGGAGCACGCUUAGGCGUGUGACUGCGUACCUUUUGUAUAAUGGGUCAGCGACUUAUAUUCUGUAGCAAGGUUAACCGAAUAGGGGAGCCGAAGGGAAACCGAGUCUUAACUGGGCGUUAAGUUGCAGGGUAUAGACCCGAAACCCGGUGAUCUAGCCAUGGGCAGGUUGAAGGUUGGGUAACACUAACUGGAGGACCGAACCGACUAAUGUUGAAAAAUUAGCGGAUGACUUGUGGCUGGGGGUGAAAGGCCAAUCAAACCGGGAGAUAGCUGGUUCUCCCCGAAAGCUAUUUAGGUAGCGCCUCGUGAAUUCAUCUCCGGGGGUAGAGCACUGUUUCGGCAAGGGGGUCAUCCCGACUUACCAACCCGAUGCAAACUGCGAAUACCGGAGAAUGUUAUCACGGGAGACACACGGCGGGUGCUAACGUCCGUCGUGAAGAGGGAAACAACCCAGACCGCCAGCUAAGGUCCCAAAGUCAUGGUUAAGUGGGAAACGAUGUGGGAAGGCCCAGACAGCCAGGAUGUUGGCUUAGAAGCAGCCAUCAUUUAAAGAAAGCGUAAUAGCUCACUGGUCGAGUCGGCCUGCGCGGAAGAUGUAACGGGGCUAAACCAUGCACCGAAGCUGCGGCAGCGACGCUUAUGCGUUGUUGGGUAGGGGAGCGUUCUGUAAGCCUGCGAAGGUGUGCUGUGAGGCACGCUGGAGGUAUCAGAAGUGCGAAUGCUGACAUAAGUAACGAUAAAGCGGGUGAAAAGCCCGCUCGCCGGAAGACCAAGGGUUCCUGUCCAACGUUAAUCGGGGCAGGGUGAGUCGACCCCUAAGGCGAGGCCGAAAGGCGUAGUCGAUGGGAAACAGGUUAAUAUUCCUGUACUUGGUGUUACUGCGAAGGGGGGACGGAGAAGGCUAUGUUGGCCGGGCGACGGUUGUCCCGGUUUAAGCGUGUAGGCUGGUUUUCCAGGCAAAUCCGGAAAAUCAAGGCUGAGGCGUGAUGACGAGGCACUACGGUGCUGAAGCAACAAAUGCCCUGCUUCCAGGAAAAGCCUCUAAGCAUCAGGUAACAUCAAAUCGUACCCCAAACCGACACAGGUGGUCAGGUAGAGAAUACCAAGGCGCUUGAGAGAACUCGGGUGAAGGAACUAGGCAAAAUGGUGCCGUAACUUCGGGAGAAGGCACGCUGAUAUGUAGGUGAAGUCCCUCGCGGAUGGAGCUGAAAUCAGUCGAAGAUACCAGCUGGCUGCAACUGUUUAUUAAAAACACAGCACUGUGCAAACACGAAAGUGGACGUAUACGGUGUGACGCCUGCCCGGUGCCGGAAGGUUAAUUGAUGGGGUUAGCGCAAGCGAAGCUCUUGAUCGAAGCCCCGGUAAACGGCGGCCGUAACUAUAACGGUCCUAAGGUAGCGAAAUUCCUUGUCGGGUAAGUUCCGACCUGCACGAAUGGCGUAAUGAUGGCCAGGCUGUCUCCACCCGAGACUCAGUGAAAUUGAACUCGCUGUGAAGAUGCAGUGUACCCGCGGCAAGACGGAAAGACCCCGUGAACCUUUACUAUAGCUUGACACUGAACAUUGAGCCUUGAUGUGUAGGAUAGGUGGGAGGCUUUGAAGUGUGGACGCCAGUCUGCAUGGAGCCGACCUUGAAAUACCACCCUUUAAUGUUUGAUGUUCUAACGUGGACCCGUAAUCCGGGUUGCGGACAGUGUCUGGUGGGUAGUUUGACUGGGGCGGUCUCCUCCUAAAGAGUAACGGAGGAGCACGAAGGUUGGCUAAUCCUGGUCGGACAUCAGGAGGUUAGUGCAAUGGCAUAAGCCAGCUUGACUGCGAGCGUGACGGCGCGAGCAGGUGCGAAAGCAGGUCAUAGUGAUCCGGUGGUUCUGAAUGGAAGGGCCAUCGCUCAACGGAUAAAAGGUACUCCGGGGAUAACAGGCUGAUACCGCCCAAGAGUUCAUAUCGACGGCGGUGUUUGGCACCUCGAUGUCGGCUCAUCACAUCCUGGGGCUGAAGUAGGUCCCAAGGGUAUGGCUGUUCGCCAUUUAAAGUGGUACGCGAGCUGGGUUUAGAACGUCGUGAGACAGUUCGGUCCCUAUCUGCCGUGGGCGCUGGAGAACUGAGGGGGGCUGCUCCUAGUACGAGAGGACCGGAGUGGACGCAUCACUGGUGUUCGGGUUGUCAUGCCAAUGGCACUGCCCGGUAGCUAAAUGCGGAAGAGAUAAGUGCUGAAAGCAUCUAAGCACGAAACUUGCCCCGAGAUGAGUUCUCCCUGACUCCUUGAGAGUCCUGAAGGAACGUUGAAGACGACGACGUUGAUAGGCCGGGUGUGUAAGCGCAGCGAUGCGUUGAGCUAACCGGUACUAAUGAACCGUGAG
rnacentral:rRNA from 1 species